rfam:Thalassobius gelatinovorus strain CECT 4357 genome assembly, contig: 0027
UCAUGCAAGGAUCGCCCCCCGUCAGCGCGUCGCGCCCACGGGGGCAGUUGGC